AGUGAACGCUGGCGGUAGGCCUAACACAUGCAAGUCGAACGGCAGCACAGUAAGAGCUUGCUCUUACGGGUGGCGAGUGGCGGACGGGUGAGGAAUACAUCGGAAUCUACUUUUUCGUGGGGGAUAACGUAGGGAAACUUACGCUAAUACCGCAUACGACCUACGGGUGAAAGCAGGGGAUCUUCGGACCUUGCGCGAUUGAAUGAGCCGAUGUCGGAUUAGCUAGUUGGCGGGGUAAAGGCCCACCAAGGCGACGAUCCGUAGCUGGUCUGAGAGGAUGAUCAGCCACACUGGAACUGAGACACGGCCCAGACUCCUACGGGAGGCAGCAGUGGGGAAUAUUGGACAAUGGGCGAAAGCCUGAUCCAGCAAUACCGCGUGGGUGAAGAAGGCCUUCGGGUUGUAAAGCCCUUUUGUUGGGAAAGAAAAGCAGCAGGUUAAUACCCCGCUGUUCUGACGGUACCCAAAGAAUAAGCACCGGCUAACUUCGUG
rnacentral:rRNA from 1 species